UUUCUCUCUCCACUUCCUCAG
rnacentral:miRNA from 1 species